ACAGAGGUGGCAAGCGUUGUUCGGAAUUACUGGGCGUAAAGGGCGAGUAGGUGGCCAUCUAAGUCAGACGUGAAAUCCCCCGGCUUAACCUGGGAACUGCGUCUGAUACUGGACGGCUAGAGUUUGGGAGAGGGAUGCAGAAUUCCAGGUGUAGCGGUGAAAUGCGUAGAUAUCUGGAGGAAUACCGGUGGCGAAGGCGGCAUCCUGGACCAACACUGACACUGAAUCGCGAAAGCUAGGGGAGCAAACGGGA
rnacentral:rRNA from 1 species